rnacentral:tRNA from 1 species
GCCGAAGUGGUGGAAUCGGUAGACACGCAAGCUUGAGGGGCUUGUGGACGUUUAGUCCGUGGAGGUUCAAGUCCUCUCUUCGGCA